UAAGCGGAGGAAAAGAAACCAACAGGGAUUGCCUCAGUAACGGCGAGUGAAGCGGCAACAGCUCAAAUUUGAAAUCUGGCCCCAGGCCCGAGUUGUAAUUUGCAGAGGAUGCUUUUGGUGCGGUGCCUUCCAAGUUCCCUAGAACGGGACGCCAGAGAGGGUGAGAGCCCCGUACAGUUGGACACCAAGCCUUUGUAAAGCUCCUUCGACGAGUCGAGUAGUUUGGGAAUGCUGCUCAAAAUGGGAGGUAUAUUUCUUCUAAAGCUAAAUACCGGCCAGAGACCGAUAGCGCACAAGUAGAGUGAUCGAAAGAUGAAAAGCACUUUGAAAAGAGGGUUAAACAGCACGUGAAAUUGUUAAAAGGGAAGCGCUUGUGACCAGACUUGCGUCCGGUGAAUCACCCAGCUCUCGCGGCUGGGGCACUUCGCCGGCUCAGGCCAGCAUCAGCUCGCUGUCGGGGACAAAAGCUUCAGGAACGUAGCUCUCUUCGGGGAGUGUUAUAGCCUGUUGCACAAUACCCUUCGGCGGGCUGAGGUACGCGCUCCGCAAGGAUGCUGGCAUAAUGGUCAUCAGCGACCCGUCUUGAAACACGGACCAAGGAGUCAACCUUAUGUGCGAGUGUUCGGGUGUCAAACCCCUACGCGUAAUGAAAGUGAACGCAGGUGAGAGCUUCGGCGCAUCAUCGACCGAUCCUGAUGUUCUCGGAUGGAUUUGAGUAAGAGCAUAUAGGGUUGGACCCGAAAGAAGGUGAA
rnacentral:rRNA from 1 species